UAUUAGCAGCCUACAGUAUAAAUGUCAGUGAUCAGGCUCCGGUGUAUCGUUCUAGCAACUCUGUUCUAGUGUAUCGUUCAGUGCACAUACCGAUUGUCAUACUGUAGUGUUCAUAUUCUUGUGUGAUAACGUCCAAUUAAAAAGACAAAUAUGUCUCUCGUAGAUAUUUUACCGAACGAAAUAUUCCUAAUAAUUUUUUACUUAUGUGAUGUAUAUACUUUACUACAGCUCAACAGUGUAUGCAAAAAAUUUCAAGAUCUAUCAAACAAGGUCUUAAAUAAUAAAAGUAACCGUUUGCUUGUUACGAAUGAGGUGUCGAAAAAAUUUUGUGAACGAUGUACAUCACUAUUAUCUUCGUAUAAUUCUAAAUUUAUUACGCAUUACAACUGGAAAUAUGAAAUAGCUCGUAACCAUAUCAUAUGUGACUUACAAACGAUUAUAGAUUUCAUGGAAGAAGGAAGAGGCAUGAGAAUGAAGCAAAUAUGCCUAAAAAUGACUAAAAAUAAAAUUUGGUUUUAUGACGAAGAUAUUCUUUCAGCUUUUAAUCGUGCAGAGGACGGUAACAUUACGGGAGACAAAAUUAUUGGAACUUGUAACUGUCAAUUUUCAAGCAUUGCUUAUUGCAAUGAUAUAAUUAUAAGCGGUCACGUAGAUGGCAGUAUUAGGCAAUGGAAAACUAAAUCACGGAAAAACAUUAAUAAUAUUCAACAAUUAAAAGCACAUUUCAAUGUAUAUGAUGAAUACGUUUCGAACAUAGAAGUAACAACACAACAUAUUAUAUCAAGUUCUUCAAAUUUAAUAAAGAUACAGAAAAAUACACUUGAUGAUGAUGAAUCUGCGGAAAAAACGAAACAAUUUAUAACGGCAAGAAAUUGAUUCAGUCAAUUUCAUUAGACCCUACGGGAACAAAUGUAGCUGCUAGUACCGAAGAAUCGCUUCUAAUUUAUGAUAUUAAUAAAAAUUGUGAGGUAAAGGAUGAACGUAUAAAUCGUAAUAUUUUUUCCCAAACUACUAUGGCAAGAUACUCACACUAUUCUUAUGGUGUAUGAACAAUAUAUUAAAAAAAUGGAUACAAGAACUUUCGAAUUUGUACGUACAUGGGAUGCUUCUGUCGUAAAAAGUUUUUAUGAAUUACAUAGUUUCUCUUCAGAUUAUUUGUAUACUAUUAUGACAGGGACAAAUAUUGGCACAGUACUUCUAUGGGAUCAAAGAUCAAAUGAUUACAUUCAAACGUAUGAUAUAUAUCCUGUUGUUUCAAAUUCUGUAUUUUCUGUGGAAUUUGAUAGCACCCAUAUGUAUGCUAUUUCAGAACAAGAUGGUGUGGUUGAAUUUAAUUUUCAAGAAGAAGACUAUUACGACCGCGCUGAAAGGAAAGAGUAUUUUAGCAAAUUUAUUUAAAUUAAAAAAGUUGUCUAACAAUUUUUCUUCUAUUAUACUUUGAUUGUUUACAAA